CAAACGACUCUCGGCAUUGGAUAUCUCGGCUCUUGCAUCGAUGAAGAACGUAGUGAAAUGCGAUACUUGGUGUGAAUUGCAGAAUCUCGUGAACCAUUGAGUCUUUGAACGCAAGUUGUGCCCGAGGCCUUGUGGCCGAGGGCACGCCUGCUUGGGUGUCAUGG
rnacentral:rRNA from 1 species